rnacentral:rRNA from 1 species
AUUGAACGCUGGCGGCAUGCCUUACACAUGCAAGUCGAACGGUAACAGGUCUUCGGAUGCUGACGAGUGGCGAACGGGUGAGUAAUACAUCGGAACGUGCCCGAUCGUGGGGGAUAACGAAGCGAAAGCUUUGCUAAUACCGCAUACGAUCUACGGAUGAAAGCAGGGGACCGCAAGGCCUUGCGCGAACGGAGCGGCCGAUGGCAGAUUAGGUAGUUGGUGGGAUAAAAGCUUACCAAGCCGACGAUCUGUAGCUGGUCUGAGAGGACGACCAGCCACACUGGGACUGAGACACGGCCCAGACUCCUACGGGAGGCAGCAGUGGGGAAUUUUGGACAAUGGGCGAAAGCCUGAUCCAGCCAUGCCGCGUGCAGGAUGAAGGC